ensembl:lncRNA
CUUCAUUCAAGAAGAUGGGGGAGAGGGACCAGUCAGGCGGGGCCAACCCCAGGAGGGGUCCUAACCCCAGCCCACGACCACCAGGGGGUGCCACUACAUUCAGCCAGUUCCUUGCACGGGCUGGGGCAACCCAGAGAGGGGGGUUAUUUAUUCGACAGCCUAUGGGGUAAUGAAUGGCAUUUUUGGGUUAUCACCAAAAAUUACUUAUUUGAAAGAAGGCAGAAACCUGAACCAGAACGAGAGGUUCCACAUCUGAUGAUCCAAGGAGACCAGAAGGACCUCUCCCAGUGAUACCAGGAGAUCCAGUCUACGGUCGAGUGUUCCGAAGGAAGUGGGAUCAGCCGAGGAGGGAAGGACCCUACGAGGUGCCAACAGCCACAAUCACGGCCGUCCAAGUGAAAGGAAGCAAGACGUGGUAUCAUCUAAACCACUGCACCCGAGUCCCGACGGAGAGAAGGACACAACCAUACAGAGAUGAGGACACAGAGGAUGCUGAUUCACCAGAGGGGACCCCGGAGGGAGCAGGAGCAGCGGAAUUGAUCAAAGCCCCACACAACGGAAAAUGGCAGACCAAAUACAACGAGUGCAUCAGCUAACACACUCCGAAGAAGCACCAGGGGAAAAGAGCCUGAAAAGAAAAGAGACAAACGACCAAAGUUUCCUCCAGUAUGGCCAGAAAGCCCAGAAGUGGGAGGGGGUAACAUGUCUGCCACUCCUGAUGAUAUACCUGUUGGGGCAGGCCUCUUUGACAGAAGCCCUCUAAAGAGGGGCUCCGAGGUAUUGCCUAAAGAAUGGGAACAUCUCUUCCCUGAAAUGGACACCUUCCAAAUGGAAGCCCAGUCCGGCCUGAGGAGGGAGCUUCAGGGGAGGAAAGAAGGAGAGACCCCACUAACGAGAAGGAAAAGUCAAGUGAGCUGAAGAAAAUGGCAAUUUCCCCAAAAAUUGACUUUUCAGCUCUUGAAUUGUCUCCAUAAUGAACAAUUGAAGUUAGAACAACAGAAGAACAAUGACAUUGACAUAACAGAAGUAACAGUGAACACUAGUAUAGCAACAACAGACUCACGCACAAUCAAGAUGUAGGGUGGAAACAGGAAGAGAAGAGAGGGACCAGUCAAACAAUCUAAAAAGACUGACAAGGUUAGAAUCUUUGUUCCACCUCAACAUAUAACUGAAACAGGAAAACAGAAGACAAAAGGAUCAAACCCUUACCGGAGAUUGCAUUCGGUGGAUGGACAUAUCGAACGAAGAGAGAAGUCAUUUGGGACUCAAAAGGAUGUGACCUGACGUUAACCAAAGAAGUGGACGAGGACUCCCGAAACAACGCAAACCAGGCUGUCGUCUUGUGAAACAGUGGAUGUAAAGAAUCUAGCUAGCUAAAGCAUUUACUGCAAAUUGAAUGUACAAUUUUGUAAGAUUGCCUUGCUGAUAUUUGCCAUGCAAUGCAGAUAGAUUAAAU